rnacentral:tRNA from 1 species
GGGAUGAUGAUCUGUGGUGGAUCAGCGGACUGUAACUCCGCCUCGUAAGAACUGUAGGUUCGAUUCCUACCAUCCUC